rnacentral:lncRNA from 1 species
GCCGGCUCUCCAUACCCAUCAGCCAGGAGGCAGAAAGAGCACCAGUGUUCACCUCUGGGUGACCGUACAUAGACUGGCCACAUGAACCUGGUGACCACCACCUCCUGCUCAAUUCUUCUCCUCUGUCUGUAUGAAUACCAAGACACCCUGUGAAGUCUGCCAGGGAGCUUUGUGGCUUUGGAAAGGAGACUCAGGUGGUACACCGUGCUCUCUGCCUUCCUGCUCUGCCCCUCCAGGAUCCCACCAGGCAGUACCUCACAACACCGGCUUCUCCAUCAGCUAUCCAAUGGCACAUGGAUACCAUUCCUGCCUAGAGGGUACACCGUGGGAACUCCCUCAUCCCAUCACCCUUCUGUCAGAUGCUCUGUUCUUUUUCACUGCAUAGUUCCUGCCUCAGGUAUCAGCAGAACCCCAGAAUACUCAGGGUGUUCCUACAGAUCAGUAAGGAAAGCACAGACAACCCAGCAUGGAACUGGGCAAAAGACUAGUGUCCUCAAAGAGAAGUCAUCAAAUUAUCCCGCAAUCACCAGAA